GGUUUUGUUUGGGGUUUUGCUCUCCCCAUUCCAGGGGAAAGUCCCAGGGGCUCCCAGUCUUUUCUGUCACACCAACCCAAGGGCGGAAACGGGGCGACUAGGGGAAUCAGGUUUUAUCAGAGCACCCUGCGCUGACAGGCUCGGGCGGUUUAGAAGAGAAAAUCAGAGGUGCUCAGGGCACCUGGUCACAAACCUGGGCAUGCAGAUGCCUGAUGGGGGCUUGGACCCUUUCGUGGCACGAAAAGGAGAGAGACUGCUGUUCAUCUUAAAAGUCUCGAAGGAGGCAAAAACCCAGGCGGAAGUCAUGGCUGACUCUGAUCCUGCAUCUUCUCAUUCUGGUUGUUUUCCACCGCGUCUGCUCCCAUUUGCGUGGGAUGCGCUGGUCUCCUGCCCGACUCUUUUGUGUUCCUCUUUUGCAUGAUUAAAAACACGUUUCUAUAUGCACUAAACCAUCACCUAGCACUGGCACGCCUGGUUUUGGGUUACAGCUUUGUCCGUAUAAUAACAGCGAAGUUCUCCCUGGGUGUGAGAUGCGGGUUCGAACAUGUGGUGUGCGCGCCAGGGCUGGCCGCUUCCGGUUAAGUGGACGCGGGGACUUGACUGCGUCCCCUGCCUUGCAGGUAACUGGAAUGGGUUGCCUGGCAAGUUGGCCCUGCCCGGGACGCCGAAGGGACCGCUUCCCCAUUCCAGAGCCUGCCUCUGGCCUUCAGGGCCGCUGACAGGUCCGAAAAGAAAGAGAAGGCACUCAGUUUUAAAAAAAAGAGAUCUAGAGGACUGGGGAAAAGGGGAUGAGCCAAGGCAAACUGGGAAUUGCUCGGGCUUCCCCCGAAAGCCUCAGCUCAGUGCCGGGGGAGACCCCAACGGAGGGCCAGACUCCCCCAAAUCCAGUGGCCGAAGACCUGGAUUUCCUGGGAGGAUCCCCGGGGGCCCGAGGCAGGCCCAGCUGGGCCCCGUCUGCUCGGGACGCGGGAGGCCUCAGCCGUGGCGGGAGCCCCCGCUGUGGCGGCCUCGCCCUUCGAGGCCAGGAGAAGCGGCCCCCUCCUAAGCCGUCAGCGGCUCAUCCUACCGGGAGACCUGGAAAACCAGCAGCCGCGGGCCCUGCUGGGCUUGCUUUCGCCGCCCCGGCCCCUUCUCCCCGGCCAGUGGACCCCGCUCGCCGUCCCGUCUGUCAGUCUCGGUUUUAGCUCCUUCGGGCGCAGGGCGCUCGCCUCCCGGCCGGGCCACCCCACCCUCCAAUCCCCGAGGCCGACCCGACCCCUGCACUCCGCCAGGCCGCGAGGUUUCCCAGCGACCGGCGCCCCGGCCCGCGGCCGACCUGGAGGCCUGACUGCAGGGCUCGGGCGGGGCCCUCUCUCGGCUCUGGCUGGCGGCCCACUCCCGCGGGCGUACAGGCCUCGCCACCGGGCCUCGGCCUUGCCGCGGCCCACAGCGCCCUGGGACCGGCGCCCCCGAGGCCUGAGAACUACGCCCGGGGGGCGCGGGCUGAGGCUCAAGAGAGGUCCUAGGUGCGGGCCAGGGAUGGAGCCAGCCCAGAGAGAAAGGGGAAAACCCGGCAAGGCAAGAGCCUCAGUCUCGCCCCUGCCUGGCCCGCCAGGCUGUGAGUGGGGCCCAUUGGGCAGCGCCAACCUGGGGAGUCCGGCGUCUGCCCCAGCUGGGGGCCCUCGGGGCAGAGAUGUGAGUGCUGUUCCCAGGUAACUCCGACUGGGCACUGGGGAGUUAGAAAAGCCAGCUCUUUAGCCAGAGCGCCUAGGGCGCGGCGGAGAGCGGGCCGCCCGGCACCACGUUCCUUCUGGCAGUUCCGCCCCAGCCUCCCAGCGUCUUGCGCCUGUGGCGGCGGCAGUACGGGCCUGGGGGGUCACCCACAGGAAAGGAAGGAAAGAAACACUCCCAAGGUGAAAUACAAAGGGCCAAGAAUCCCUGUGGGAAAGAUAAAGAUUUGGGGCAACAGAUCUUUGUAAAGCAAACUACCCCCACCCUCAUCAGGACCUGACCUCCAAACCGAAGCUUAUACUGCCGGCUCACUUCUUGUUAAUUGCCGAUACGCAGCUGAAGUAGCUCCCUGACCUCUUUGGAGGACGGCGUCAUUUCAGUACCAAGUAUCACCAUUAUUGGGCUUAUUAACUUCAUUAAAACCGGUCUUGACUAGGAGUGGAGAUCGGAACUCUCUGGAUGUCUUUAAGCCAGUGUUCGCUCCCCGCCUCCUUCCCUCCCUCCGUUGCCUUCGGUCAGAGGAAUUCAUUUCUACUUCGCCUUUGAUUCAAAGGGAUUUAACUGCGUGGUCUUAGUUAAGAGAAGUUGUGCAGAGGUGAUGGAAAAAUUAGUUUCAGAGGGUGCUCAGUGCCUCUUCUUUCUGACCUUUUUUUUAAAGUUUCAGGAGAGAAACUGCCAACUGCGUUAUUUGCUGAGUAGCCCAAUGUUUAUCGUCAUUAUUGUUUUUAAAGAAGGGGUAAUCUUUCCCUGCCCCUUGCGGGACAUCCUGAAAACUGAAGGCAAUGGUAGAAAAUGGUUAUUUUGAUUCUGCAUUACUGUUGCAGAAGAAAAGCUGGGAGAUUAAGACACUGAAUCUGGGUAAACCUCAGGCCCCAAUUUAACUUCGUGUAAACUACAGUAUGUUGAAGGUUAUCAAUAGGUGCUGAAAACUCUUGCCAUCAAAUUUGGCCUCAAAUUUUGGUUGCAAACUAUUGCAUUUCCUUUACCAGCGAACCAAUUUACUUAUUAGGAAAAAUUACAGAGUUCAAGAGAGCAUGCGCAGCCAGGGACCGGAAAAAUGAAAUAGCCAGAAAACAAAAUGGUUGCAACUGCUAACCUUCAUUUAAAACGUUACAAUCAAGAGUCACUUAAUUUUGGUCAGCUGUAAGAGCUUAAGCAGCUUAAAAUGAAAUUAAAUAUUGCUUUUACCUGAGGAGCACCAUGAUCAUUGGCCCAUUUGUCUUUUCUGGUGACUGGUUUACAAAAUGCAGGUACAACUGAAAAGGGACCCAUUUUUUCCCCCUCGGCACUUU
rnacentral:lncRNA from 1 species